UUACUAACAUUUAUACAGAAACACUCGUAUCCUUUUUUGGCUCUUAAAACUCCACCCUCCCUCAGCUAUUAACCAUGACAAAUUCUAUACCUGAGAAACCCCAGAUAUAUGGAGAGAUGUUGAGCAGCCAUUAAAGGAUUACAAUGGAAGAAUCUCUUUUAGGGAUAAAGUAUUGGGAAAUAGAAGUCCCCUCGGCAUGUGAUAUGCAGAUCUUCUCGAGAGGAAUUUGGUGCAG
rnacentral:lncRNA from 1 species